GCGGCCGUGGCGGAACGGCAGACGCGCUAGGUUGAGGGCCUAGUGGGAGUAUUCCCGUGGAGGUUCAAAUCCUUCUCGGCCGCA
rnacentral:tRNA from 1 species